UCUUAUGGAUGAGCAAAGAAAGUGGCUUCUUGAGAUGGAAUCCACUCCUGGUGAAGAUGCUGUGAA
rnacentral:pre_miRNA from 1 species